rnacentral:rRNA from 1 species
UGGGGAAUAUUGGACAAUGGGCGAAAGCCUGAUCCAGCAAUGCCGCGUGAGUGAUGAAGGCCUUAGGGUUGUAAAGCUCUUUUACCCGGGAAGAUAAUGACUGUACCGGGAGAAUAAGCCCCGGCUAACUCCGUGCCAGCAGCCGCGGUAAUACGGAGGUGGCUAGCGUUGUUCGGAAUUACUGGGCGUAAAGCGUACGUAGGCGGCUUUGUAAGUUAGAGGUGAAAGCCCGGGGCUCAACCCCGGAAUUGCCUUUAAGACUGCAUCGCUUGAAUCGUGGAGAGGUGAGUGGAAUUCCGAGUGUAGAGGUGAAAUUCGUAGAUAUUCGGAAGAACACCAGUGGCGAAGGCGGCUCACUGGACACGUAUUGACGCUGAGGUACGAAAGCGUGGGGAGCAAACA